AACUCCGUUUAAAAGAAUUAUUUAUACUUUUCGAUUGUUACAGCGAUGUAUUAUAUUAUAUUAUCAAUAGAAUAGUAUACCGUGAUGAAUUGAACGGAGUAACGUAUCGAUCUUUCUGUCAGUCUGUAAGCGUACUAUUUUAUGCGCAAUAAUAAAGUACAUGUGAUUCGACAAUGAUUGUAAACAUUGGUGAAAUGCUUCUUACAUAGUUAUUCUUUUGAGUGUUAAUGAGGUCUGAUCGUGCAGUUUGCAAACAUCAACGGAAAGAUUACAAUCCAAUGCAUUUGUCAUCGUCAACCGUUUGGAAUGUCAAUUAGGCGAUGAAAACAAAAAUAGAUGACUCUUUUCCUGAUGCAGAAUUUGAAGUUGAUAGUUACCACAUAUGGCGAGCUGAUAGAAACCAACAUGGAGGAGAUACACCAGAACUGCUGAAAUCCCCCAAGUAAGAACAUCAAGUUACGGCAUCAACUCUUUCCGUUUCGGGGCUGCCAAACUGUGGAACUCUCUCCCCCAACAUUUCAGGGACCAAUUACAUUUCAAUCAGUUCUUCAGUUUGGUUAGCUCAUGGGACGGUGAGAGCUGCCGCUGCUCCUAUUGCAUGUAUCAAACAUAGUUGCUAAAUUUUGUUUUUUUGUUGUUGCUUGCAUGCUCUAUGUUUUCAUGCAUACUGUGAUAUAUGCUUGUUCAUGCAACGAAACUGAUUAUUAAAUAUGUUAGUUGCUUAAAAAAAAUCUUUUUAUUUGGCUUUUUGUUGCUAGCUCGUUUAAGGUGCUACAUUUUUUAGAUUUUGUUGCUUGCUUGCUUUUGUGUUGCAUGCACACUGUGAUAUACGCUUUUCUUUUUACUCAUGCAACGAACCUGAUUUUAAUAUAAAUAUGUAAGUUAAAUCAUUAUAAGUAAAAUAUACUUUCAUUAAAUAUGUAAGUGCUUAAAUUUUGGCUUUUUGUUGCUUGCUUGUUUAAGUUGCUAAAAUUUUGGCUGCUUGUUGCUUGCAUGUUUCUUAUGUUUCAUGCACACUGUGAUAUAUGCUUUUUUAUAUAUAAGCUUAAUCAUUAUUAAGUAAAUAUACUUUCAUCCUAACUAUUGUAAAUCCUUUAAGUAAAUAAUUAUGUUUUAAUUACAAGCUUACUUUUUUAUGUGUUUAUAUAUUUUAUAUAGCCGCUAAGUUUUAUAUAGUUGCUAAGUUAUUAUCAUGUGCUUUGUUAGUAAACUAAAUAUGCCUUUGAUAUUAUAACAAGAAAUAUGAAAAUUUAUUUA